rnacentral:pre_miRNA from 1 species
GAGUAUAAUGAGGAAGAGAGGUCUAACAUGGCGAAAAGAGUCAUGUUUAGUAGCCAAGGAUGACUUGCCUGAUCUUUUUCACCUCCAUGAUUCAAUUUGUAAUUCAUGGGUUUUGGAUUAUUAUACAUUCAAAAGUAUAAUAAUUUGAAAUCAUGUUGAAUCUUGCGGGUUAGGUUUCAGGCAGUCUCCUUGGCUAUCUUGACAUGCUUUUUUCAUUCACG